AACGAACGCUGGCGGCGUGCUUAACACAUGCAAGUCGAGCGGUAAGGCCCUUUCGGGGGUACACGAGCGGCGAACGGGUGAGUAACACGUGGGUGACCUGCCCUCAGCUCUGGGAUAAGCCUGGGAAACCGGGUCUAAUACUGGAUAUGACUCCAUGACGCAUGUUGUGGGGUGGAAAGCCUUGUGCGGCUGAGGAUGGGCCCGCGGCCUAUCAGCUUGUUGGUGGGGUGANGGCCUACCAAGGCGACGACGGGUAGCCGGCCCGAGAGGGCGACCGGCCACACUGGGACUGAGACACGGCCCAGACUCCUACGGGAGGCAGCAGUGGGGAAUCUUGCGCAAUGGGCGAAAGCCUGACGCAGCGACGCCGCGUGAGGGAUGACGGCCUGGUGUAA
rnacentral:rRNA from 1 species